AUUGAACGCUGGCGGCAUGCCUUACACAUGCAGGUCGAACGGUAGAGGGACAACCCUCGAGAGUGGCGAACGGGUGAGUAAUGCAUCGGAACGUGCCCAGUAAUGGGGGAUAGCCCGGCGAAAGCCGGAUUAAUACCGCAUACGACCUACGGGUGAAAGGGGGGGAUCGCAAGACCUCUCGCUAUUGGAGCGGCCGAUGUCAAAUUAAAUAAUUAAUAAAAUAAAAACCUACCAAACCAACAAUCUAUAACUAAUCUAAAAAAACAACCAACCACACUACAACUAAAACACAACCCAAACUCCUACAAAAAACAACAAUAAAGAAUUUUGGACAAUGGGCGAAAGCCUGAUCCAGCCAUGCCGCGUGCGGGAAGAAGGCCUUCGGGUUGUAAACCGCUUUUGUCAGGGAAGAAAUCCUUUGGGCUAAUACCCUAAAAAAAUAACGGUACCUGAAGAAUAAGCACCGGCUAACUACGUGCCAGCCGCCGCGGUAAGAC
rnacentral:rRNA from 1 species